rnacentral:rRNA from 1 species
AGAGUUUGAUCAUGGCUCAGGAUGAACGCUAGCGGUGCGCCUAACACAUGCAAGUCGAACGCCCCCAUUUUGUUUUUGACAAAACAAACGUAGUCGAAGAUAAGAUGGGGGAGUGGCGAACGGGUGAGUAACACGUUGGAACCUACCUCGGACUCAGGGAUAGCCAUCCGAAAGGAUGAUUAAUACCGGAUAGUCCCGCAAGGGUAAAGCUUUUGCGGUCCGAGAGGGGCCUGCGGCCUAUCAGCUUGUUGGUAGUGUAAUAGACUACCAAGGCUAUGACGGGUAUCUGGUGUGAGAGCAUGACCAGACACAAUGGAACUGAGACACGGUCCAUACUCCUACGGGAGGCAGCAGUGAGGAAUCUUCCGCAAUGGGCGAAAGCCUGACGGAGCGACACCGCGUGAAGGAUGAAGGCCUUUUGGUUGUAAACUUCUUUUCUGGGGGAAUAAAUGAUGAAGGUACCCCAGGAAUAAGCACCGGCUAAUUACGUGCCAGCAGCCGCGGUAAUACGUAGGGUGCAAGCGUUAUCCGGAAUUAUUGGGCGUAAAGCGUUCGCAGGCGGUUGGAUAAGUUUGUAGUUAAAUAUGGUCGCUCAACGAUCAAAACACUGCAAAAACUAUUUAACUAGAGGAUGGCAGAGGCAACUGGAAUUCCACAUGUAGGGGUAAAAUCCGUUGAUAUGUGGAGGAACACCAAAAGCGAAAGGCAGGUUGCUGGGCC